rnacentral:lncRNA from 1 species
UCUGUACUUUCUUGGCUCUUCACCAGCCUUUUUGAGACUCAAGAAGAAAAUUUCACUGGAUUUAAAAUCUUUCCCAGAAAGGUGUUUAUCUCGUAUCUGUUUUCAUGGAACACUUGCUUGAACCAUGCUAAAGACACACAAUCCUACUGAUGGACAACUAUAGUGUUUGAAAUGAGAGAGCGACAUCUCAGCUUGCUGUUCUGGACACCUGCCGCCAUUCCUCCUGUAAUUGGUUGAUCUGAUGCUGUCUGCAAUCCUCAACCCAGAUAAGGGUCACUGGUACGCAGAGUCACAUCCAGCUUUUCUGGGAACCCAAACUCAAGACCUCAUGAUGAGCAUCAAAGAAGGCCCAUUCAGCCCAAGCUAUAUAGUAGAAUCCUUUUAAAAGACCAACCAAUAAUAAUAAAUAAUGCUUGCCUUCCACUCUGU